rnacentral:lncRNA from 1 species
GUCAAUUAUUGAAUUAUGCAUUGCACAGACUGUAAAGCACUCUAAUCUCUAUCCAAAAAAUAACUAACCAUCUAGACAAACUUUGCUUUGAUGGGAUUCCAAUUUUCAAGAGAUAGAGAGUAAAACAUUAAAGAUUCGGAUUGUAUCUUUCAUGCAAAAGAAUGAUCAAUCUUUUUUCAUGAGGCCAAUCAUUGGAUUGCAUAUUACACAG